GGACCCGCACAAGCGGUGGAGCAUGUGGUUCAAUUCGACGGUAAACGAAAAACCUUACCAGGGCUUGAAAUGUAGCUGCUAAUCCCGAGAAACCGGGACUCCUUCGAGGGUGCUACACAGGUGCUGCAUGGUUGCCGUCAGCUCGUGCCGUGAGGUGUACCAUUAAGUUGGGUAACGAGCGCAACCCCCGUGUUAUGUUAAUUUUUACAUAACAUACCGCCCCUGCCUGUAAACAUUUUUAAAAAGUGUUUAGAGGCAGGGGAGGAAGGAGGGGAUGACGUCAAAUCAGCAUGGCUCUUACGUCCUGGGCCACACACGUGCUACAAUGGGAAGUAACAAUGGGCUGCCAAGUCGCGAGACGGAGCUAAUCCCACCAAACCUUCCCUCAGUUCAGAUUGCAGUCUGCAACUCGACUGCAUGAAGUAGGAAUCGCUAGUAAACGCCGAUCAGCUAUGCGGCGUUGAAUACGUUCUCGGGUCUU
rnacentral:rRNA from 1 species